CAGGAUUUCAGUGUGCCUACCCUGAUAGAACCAUAGAACCUUAGACUGGCGUAGGCUGGAAGGGACCUUAAAGAUCAUCGAGCUCCAACCCCCCACGCCAUAGGCAGGCUUGCCACCCACCAGAUCAGGCUGCCCUGGGCCCCAUUCAAGCUGACCUUGAACGCCUCCAGGGACACGUGUGAGAUACGUUCUGAGAAGGUCAAGACGUAUUUGCCAACCCGCUGCCGCCUUCGCACACGGUGAGGGCUCAUUGUGAGUCUCGCAAAGCCAGUCGCGGUUGGUACAUCCCCUGUCAGCAGAGGCGGAGGGGGAAAACAUCCCCCAAACCUGCUGCCCCCACUGCAGUGCUCUGAGAUGAAUGAGAUGGGUGCCAAAAUUCGGGGUGAGCAACCAGAGAGAGGAAGGAAAGGGCGGCUGCCUUGGGUCAAGUCAUCUGGGCGAACGACAUGUGCAAUCACAGAAGGUGAUGGAGCACGCCUUUCCAUCAGCGCCAGCUUACUCUGGAUCAGGCCCAGGAUGCAUCAUUGCGGCUGUGAUGUGUGGUAGGAUUCUUUUGUAUACACAACUGUGUAACCAAGUAAGGUUUCUUUUCGGAAUGGAACUGGUUGUGCAGCAAGACUCUAGGCUUACAGGGAGGGGCAACAUAAGCUGGUCAGUGUUUUUUAAGCUAGAAACCCCCACCCCUUUCCCCUUGAGUUUAAUUUUUUACAAUGGUCUGUUGGUUUUGAUGCCAAAUACUGGUGUUCAUCAUUUCUUUUGUGUGUGAAACCUUUGCAGCUGGGGACUUUCCAUGGGGACAGUUUGUUUGGAAAAAGUGAUGUAAAUUGUAAAUUGAGUCUUAGUAUGUCUUAAAAUAUCUGAGCCUGGGAAAACAUGUCAUUUCUCUGAAGAUAAUACAGAUGCUCAGCAGGUAUCUGUUGAAAACUCACACCUGUAAUGAAAGCCAUGGUUAUUUUUAAAAAUGGUUGUUAACAAGUACAGCUGAUCCUAAAAUGAGAUAAUUAAGUUUAUGUGUGACAUAAAUCUUUUAAAAUGUUUUUUUAACUUCCUACCAGUAAUGAGACCAUAUAAAAGAAUAACUGAGUGGAAACAAACAACAACUGGUAAAUCAAUAAGCAACUGGU
rnacentral:lncRNA from 1 species